UACAGAGGGUGCAAGCGUUGUUCGGAAUUAUUGGGCGUAAAGCGCGUGUAGGCGGCUUUGCAAGUCGGGUGUGAAAGCCCUCAGCUCAACUGAGGAAGUGCGCCCGAAACUGCAGAGCUUGAGUACCGGAGAGGAUGGUGGAAUUCCCCAAGUAGAGGUGAAAUUCGUAGAUAUGGGGAGGAACACCGGUAGCGAAGGCGACCAUCUGGACGGAUACUGACGCUGAGACGCGAAAGCGUGGGUAGCAAACAGG
rnacentral:rRNA from 1 species